rnacentral:rRNA from 1 species
CAGUCACCGCGGUAAUACGGAGGGUGCAAGCGUUAAUCGGAAUUACUGGGCGUAAAGCGUGCGUAGGCGGUUUGUUAAGUCUGUUGUGAAAUCCCCGGGCUCAACCUGGGAAUGGCAAUGGAUACUGGCAAGCUAGAGUGUGUCAGAGGAUGGUGGAAUUCCCGGUGUAGCGGUGAAAUGCGUAGAGAUCGGGAGGAACAUCAGUGGCGAAGGCGGCCAUCUGGGACAACACUGGCGCUGAGGCACGAAAGCGUGGGGAGCAAACAGGAUUAGAUACCCGUGUAGUCCCUGUCUCUUAUAC